rnacentral:lncRNA from 1 species
AUGCAUGUUCAGACUCCCAAGAGACCCGGAAAAGGAGGAGGAUCUGCCAAAAGCAUUCCAAGAAGAGAAGAAACCAACGCCAGGGAGAGAUUCUUUUAUACACAUUAUGGCAGCUGCACAUGGCCUCCGUCAGUAGCUGGGGCCAGGGGGUGUGAGGACGGUGACCUGGAGCCAAGGAGAGGGCCGCGGGAACCGAACACCGGAUUCCCUAUGGUGUUGCGCUGUGGGAGUCCAAUGUCUGGUCCUGGAGCCUCAGAGAGAGCGCUGGUGGUCCUUUGGGACCUUCCCUUUCGAGCUUUAGAACAAGGAACUGAAGAACGCGCAGGAAAAGGCUGCCUGGACCAGCGGGACAUUCGCUGACGCGAGGGAGCUGGGAAGCCUGGAGUGAGUCUUCGCCGAUGCCGCGGCAGCCAUUAGAGAAACUGAGCCACGAUCACACGGCGGGGAGUUGGUCUUCAUUUUAUUUGAUCAUCAAAGGAUCGGAUAACUCAGCAAGGCGUCGAUGUCUGCAUCUCAGGAAGCACUGAAAACUUUAGAAAGGUGUUCGCACUUCGGAGUGGCUUCUUCUGAACGUGAUGGACAGAAGAAAAGCGUCUUACCCGCAGGAAAGUAUGGCUGUUCCUGUGUCUUGACCGUGCCAGAUCCGGCAGACACCGUGUGAGCGCAAUCGACUGUCCAGCGACUUGCGGAGCCGAGAGCGCAGUGGUGGUCACUUCCCUGAGAGGUGGUGCCUGCUGAGUUGGGGACCCAGAACGCUACUCCUCAGCCUCGAGUAGCAUCCUGGAAGUCUCUCCGACAAGUCUGAGAGUGUUCAGGGAUCACAGCCUGCAGAAAGAAAAGGGAGAAAAUGCAUAUGAAAGCACUUUGUCAACUGUAGAGGAUUAGAUGGCAAGAUUACCAUGUGCCUCUGAAAAUUUCGUAUAUAAAUGCAGGGACAAUUGGUAAGAAAACAGUAGGCAGAGUUCUGGUUUCGUUUCAUUGUCUCUGUCCCCUGUCCUUUAGCUCCCACUGUCAUCUGAAGUUGACGUUUACUGAAACUUUACUUAUAAAAUCCAGUGUUUCUGCUUUCUUUUUCUUUUGUAAAGUUAAGCUGCUCAUAAACUUGGCUUCAGAAUUAACCAGGGAUCACCCUCCAUUCAGAGGCACAAAAUUACCAUUUGUACAGAGGUAUGUUUAAAGGAAACUUCCUCUAGUGUAGGCCUGGAAAUGUGCAAUAAUAAUUCAAACACAGUGAGUCACAGCUAUGACUCAAUUUUACUUCUCAUGUUAAUAUAAUGUAAAAACUAGCCACAGUAGGCUUUUCUCUCAUUUGAAAAAUUGCAAAAGUUAAAUAAAUACUCUGCUGAUAUCUUGCUGCAGGGAGAAUAUAAUUUGAGAAAUCAUGGCACAUUUCACUUUAGCACCUUAGAUGAUCAUUUAUCAGUAAUUUCCUAAGCAAAAAUAGAGACACUAACCAUCAAUGUGUAUAACAAAUUUUGUGCAGAACUUUGAAAACUUUCUUGCCUGGAUUUGGGACAGGUGGCAAUAUUUUAUAAAACAGACAACUCAGGAUGAUUAUGUUAGAAAUUAUUAUUGGUGUUGGUGACAACAGAAGGCUUUUAGAGUAAGAUUCAGUUAAAAUGAAAGGAUAGUUGAAAGGAUCAGAAAAAUAAAAUACUUAUAACAGAAAAGAAAAAAAUCUAUGUUGAUCUGUAAGUAGAAGCUUAGCUGACCAAGGGGAGGGGUGGAGGAGUGCCUUCCCCUUUACUAGGGGUCAGCCCUCCACUCUCUUGGUGGCAAGCCUCAACUGUCAGAGCCUGGGUUUCCUAUCACUGCCCCCUACUGCUCAGGGUUGCAUUCCUCUUCUUCACCCCUCCACAGCCCUGAGCUUCAGAGUACUUUACAGUUCCCUAAAGUGAUGACCUAGGGCACAUUUUUUUUUUUUUUUAAAUCCCCUGGCCCACCAAAACUUACUAGAUUUUUCUCCAGGCCUCUCGAGGUUCCAAGAGCUAAUAGAUAAGCUUAUUCAUAUGGAGGUGCUAAUGGAUGGUUUAAUGUGUUCUCUGGUCCAACCUGUUAUAGCUGCCCUAAAACUCAUGUUUUCAAUGCCUUUAAAAAGAUGGGACUAGAAGUAGAAAUUGUAGGCAGCAUUGCUACAAGGGGAGAUACUCAGGGGGAGGCUGCUUGUAAGGAAUAUCUUACUUAUCUAUAUGGUGAACUGGCCAGAGACCAUCUCUAGCAGUGAGUGAAUUCACUUAUCCUCUAAAUUAGUAGUGAAAUCUUUUCUUCAAACGGAAGGUUACCUGGAAGUCUAACACGUGAAAUCAGUUCAAAAUAACUACCUUGGUUGAAAGGAGACUGAUGGGCCUAUUACCUUGAAAACUAGGAUAACAUUAAUAGUAGUCAAUCACCCCCAUCUUUUUCACUUCUUCCCUGGAGCGCUCCCGGGAAUACAGUUUUAACAUUAUUAUUUUUUCAUGAGGUCAGCAUGGAAGACAUAAACAUCAUUUAUAAAAAUAAGAAACAAUUAAUUGGAGGUAGAAAGAAAUUGUAUAAUUAGAAGCAUUUUCAGUGGCCAUGAUGAGAAUAACAGUACAUAUGUAUAAAAUAUGCAUACAAUUAAUAGAUCCCAUAGUCACAGAUUCAUAAAUAUGUUUAUAAACAAUGAUUACUGGAAAGCGUUCACUUUUAUAUCUUCUUUAAACCAAGUGUCUAGUCACCAUAUGGGUUGUCACCAUCUGCGCUGAGGAAUGUACAUUAGAAAAAUCACAAUUCAAGGUCUGGGAAGAGAGCCACAGGAAUAAAAUGAGGAGAACAUUGUGGAGAUAUAUUUUCUGUUAUCCCCAUUCAAAAUAGAUCAGCCUGCACUGAUAACAGCUGCAAAAACAAUUGGGGACCUUAUUCCUGAAAUCAAAGGCAAACUGCCAGAUGGCAACCAACCAGAGGAACUGAGGAUGAAGAGGAUUGCAAAAUGCUGGGGAAAUAGAGAACAAAUCCUUUGGAGAAUAAACAUGUCUGUAUCUUUGUUAAAAUGUAGAAAUCAGAAUUUUUCCCAAACUUUCAAGUAAUAGAGAAUAAAAUAAAAACAAUAAGUGUUUGUUAACCAGAAAGUUUACCUAUGGAGAAAAACAAUUUUCUUAGUUGAAAAUGUGACAGCUGUUCAGGCUUCUCUGUCAUUUUUCUUGUCUCUCUUCAUAAUCUCUAUAUAAUCCAGAAACAGCCAGUAAAAGAAGAGAAUCUCUGCCUCUUUAAUUACUUCCUGUAAGUUUGAUAAGUACUACCUCAGCCUCAUUGGCUAUGCUACGUCUAAAUAAGCCACUCUUUCAAAGACAGCAUAAUUAUUUGCAUACACUUACUCCCCUAGCUAUAUAUCAUGCCUAUCAAAACUAAGUGCUUCCAACCUACCUUAACAGUGUCUUAGCAUUUAUCUCACUUGAGCAGUAUGUUUAACUAUUAAAUGUUACUACAUUCUGUGUCGGUAAAUAUUCAAACCAUUUAUGAUCAUAUAUACUCAUAAUCUGAACUAAAACCCAGAACAGAAUUUAUUAAAAUUGAGGACAAAAAUAAAUGCAUUCGUUAUGACAGAU